CGGGAGAAUCCUGAAUUCGAAAGGGAACGGACUUCGGUCUGUAAGGGAUUCAAGUUCAUCCGUUCACGGAGGCCCCGCAUUCAGAUGGUGCCGGUCCCCCGCAGCGAUUAAUUUCGUUUGCGGUGUUGUGCCCGGAUAUCACUCGUUUGCGGCGUGUGUCCUGGUGUCGGUGGGCCGCACUUCCCCCCUAGUAGAAAUGUCGCGACCCGUUGGGUGCCGGUCUUAAGGCCCGGGAUGGCAGACCGUUCAUUCCGUGGGGGAUCCCACGGGUGGCGGACUCUCGGUGACCCGGCCGGCUGCCCGACGGUAUGACCAGAGGAGUUGAUCCGCUGAAUGGGAAACACUAUGGUUGUGCAGCGUCCGGCCCGGUGCCAUCACGUUUGGGGAGUGAGGGGUAGCCCGUGCUUUGCACGGCCCCGACCCACAACGUUGUUGGUUUUCCGGUGUUCUCGGACUGGAUCAGUACUCCCGUCUGCGACGACCACCUUCGGAUGGUCUCCCGC
rnacentral:rRNA from 1 species